AACUCCAGGCGCGCAUGCUGGGCAUGCACGUAAACUGUAGCUGGGCAUGCACGCUCAUCAUCAGUAACAAGCAGCGAAGAAUUGCUUUGAUGGUGUUCUGGCAAAUUGUCGUCCUUGUGCUCGUCUCGGCUACAAUUGCGAGUGAUUAUAGUCAACAUGGCCAGAAGAGUACCCAGGAUGCCGAACAUGGACAGUCGUAUCACGAUCGACAGUUUUUCGGAAAGGCAGACUUUCCUUUCCCAUGUCGAACAUUCAGAUGCCGUGAUCUUAGCCAAUGUCCCGUAGGGUGCAACUGCGGAGAGGACAAAAGGUGCCACUAUUUAAAUACGGAGAAAUAAAAAUUUAAAAUAGAAA